UCCCAGAACACAGGAAAAGCCCUCAGGCUGAGCCCCUGCUGUGGCAGCCCAGCUUUGGAGCAGAAGGAUUCUUCAUGGCACCGCUCCAGGGUUAAAAUAUAACCUGGAAGCAGAAUUCCAGCCUGCUCCAGGUCAUUAUCAGGGAGCAACACCUGAGAGAGCAGGAGAAAGGGCUCAUUAAUUCCCCUCUAAUUCCCCUCCCUGCCCUGUUAGAGGCAUGGGAAGGAGAUUAAAGUUCUUGCUCAAGGGGAGGAAAACCUCGAUAAACGCUGUGGAGCAAUCCUGAGAAAUGUGUCCUUGCCAGUUUUAUUUCCUUGGAUCACAGAAAGGGAAGUUCCUGUGCCCGGUGCCGUCUGGGGUUCAUGGUUCCUGCUGGAAUUACGGGCGUGGAUGUGGCUCUCCAGCUUUAAAUGUCAUUUCAUGUGGAAAACACAGUGACAAAGCCUGCCAGCAGCACGGGUUUGGUCUCUCUCCAAGGAAAUAAAGGCGUGAUAAUCCCCUGGCUUCUCCCAGAGGGCAAGAAAGGGAGAUUUAAGCAAUUCCUGGGUUAAAUUCCGUGUUGUGGAAGGGUUUUAUGCUCUCAGCUUCGCACAGGUUGAGUUUCCUGGUCUCAGGGAUGGGGGAUGGCUGGGACACCUGGGGACAGCAGCUGGCUGUCACCUCCAGCUCUCCCACAUCCUGCACAAGUGUUUUGCCAAGCUCAGGAAAUGCUGCCAGGUCCCCAAAAUCAAUCAGGAGUGAGUCCCAUGCGUGACAAUGUCAUUUAGUGUUAUUUUCUCCAGCAGCUGCGUGUUCCCACCAGGAACAGAGAAUUCCCAGCACAAAUAAGGAAGAGAGGAAGGAGAACAGCUCGUGCUGCCCCCAGCGCCUCUCCAGGCUCUGAGGAUGGCUUUCCUCCUUCCCAAGGCCCGCACAGCAAUAAAUUGUCCUGCAGUAUCA